rnacentral:sRNA from 1 species
CUGCUCAGCAUUUGGGGACGCUCUCAGCUCUCGGCGCACGGCCCAGAGACGCUCUUCUGGCUCUUCCGUGACGCAUUACAACAGCCAUCCAGGCCGGUCCAGUUACGCUGCAUUCCUUCCUCCUUCCCAUUUCGGCGGACGUGCAUCCAGCUAGAGACUAGCAGAUUGAAUCGAUAUUCAUUAAGUUAGGAAUGGUUGAUGGUCCUAAGAGCCUCAGCAACCGAGAGGAGUCUUGUUAUUUAAAAAACAACGAUACUGGGCGUGGUCGUGGGCCUGUAGUCCCAGCUGCUCUAGCUAGUGGAUCUCUUGAGUCCAAGGCCAAUGUGAGGAACAUAGCAAGACCCAGUCUCAAAAAAUAAAUACAUAAAAUAAUAAUAAUAAAGAACCCUCGUUCACCUAAACAGAUCUAUAAUUUAUAGAACGUAAAGCAGUAAUAUUCAGGCAAUAUUAAGGAAGAUUUUUGGUAAGACUGGGGCAGCAGAGGUGCCCUUGAUGGGCAAGGGCCAGGAGUGUUAACAGAGUCCUGCUUAGUAAUUUCUUCCGUUCUUCCAAGUCUGUCGAUUAUCUAAAGG